rnacentral:rRNA from 1 species
AACGAACGCUGGCGGCAUGCCUAACACAUGCAAGUCGAACGAGACCUUCGGGUGGAGUGGCAGACGGGUGAGUAACGCGUGGGAACGUACCUUUUGCUUCGGAAUAUUCCCGGGAAACUGGGAGCAAUACCGAAUAAGCCCUGAGGGUGAAAGAUUUAUCGGCAAAAGAUCGGCCCGCGUUAGAUUAGGUAGGUGGUGGGGUAAUGGCCUACCAAGCCUACGAUCUAUAGCUGGUCCGAGAGGAUGAUCAGCCACAUUGGGACUGAGACACGGCCCAAACUCCUACGGGAGGCAGCAGUGGGGAAUAUUGGACAAUGGGCGCAAGCCUGAUCCAGCCAUGCCGCGCGAAUGAUGAAGGCCUUAGGGUUGUAAAGCUCUUUUAUCCGGGACGAUAAUGACGGUACCGGAGGAAUAAGCCCCGGCUAACUUCGUGCCAGCCGCCGCCGUAA